rnacentral:lncRNA from 1 species
UCGCUGGUGAGGGCGUUGUUGUACAUAGUAGCACAGUGCGCCGGUGCAAUCUCCGGUGCUGGGUUGGCGAAGGCGUUCCAAAAAUCCUUCUACAACAGGUACGGUGGAGGAGCCAACACUGUGAGCGAUGGCUACAACAAAGGCACUGCCUUGGGUGCUGAAAUCAUCGGUACCUUUGUUCUUGUCUACACAGUUUUCUCCGCCACCGAUCCUAAGAGAAACGCUAGGGACUCUCAUGUUCCUGUAAGCACACCAUCUCUUACCUUCUUCAUCGUUCAAUUUAAUUUACUAUUUUUCCUUUUCUUUCUUACUUACUUACUUC